rnacentral:rRNA from 1 species
CCCAAUGAAGAUUUGAAUGGCCGCAGUAUUUUGACUGUGCAAAGGUAGCAUAAUCAUUAGUUUCUUAAUUAGAAACUGGAAUGAAAGGUUGAACGAAAAAAUUACUGUCUCUUUAUAAUUUUUUUAGAAUUUUAUUUUUAAGUUAAAAAGCUUAAAUAAUUUUAAAAGACGAGAAGACCCUGUAGAGUUUUAUAUAAUUUUUUUUUUAAUUAAAAUUGAAUAAUUAUAGUUAAAAAAAUUAUUAUAUUUAAUUGGGGUGAUUAAAAAAUUUAUUUAACUUUUUUUUUAUUAAUUCAUUGAUAUAUGAGUGUUUGAUCCAUUAGUUAUGAUUAUAAGAUUAAAUUACCUCAGGGAUAACAGCGUAAUUUCUUUGUAGAGUUCUUAUCGAUAAAGAAGUUUGCGACCUCGAUGUUGGAUUAAAAUAUAAUUUUGGUGUAGAAGCUAAAAAAUUAGGUCUGUUCGACCUUUAAAAUUUUACAUGAUCUGAGUUUAAACCGGUGUAAGCCAGGUUGGUUUCUAUCUUUAAUAAAUUAAAAUAUUUUAGUACGAAAGGACCAAAUAUUUAUAAAAAUUAU